rnacentral:lncRNA from 1 species
UAAUUCGCCAAAAUGACGAACACAAAGGGAAAGAGGAGAGGCACCCGAUAUAUGUUCUCUAGGCCUUUUAGAAAACAUGGAGUUGUUCCUUUGGCCACAUAUAUGCGAAUCUAUAAGAAAGGUGAUAUUGUAGACAUCAAGGGAAUGGGUACUGUUCAAAAAGGAAUGCCCCACAAGUGUUACCAUGGCAAAACUGGAAGAGUCUACAAUGUUACCCAGCAUGCUGUUGGCAUUGUUGUAAACAAACAAGUUAAGUAAGUAGUGUUGUAGUUCUUUGUGGCUAACCAGUAUUCCCUCAUAUACCCCCUUUUCACUUUGCCAGUUGGACUUAUGUCUUUAUUGGUCAUUCAAGUGGGGCAAAGGAAAUAUCCUUUUAAAACUCAGGCAAACUGGGUGUUUGUCUGUAUCCUGUCAGAGGAAACAAAUUGAAAUAGAUUUACUGGAAAGUCUUACACAGUUAGUUACUAAGCGGUUUGUUUGUUUUGUUUCGAGACGGAGUCUUGCUCUGUCGCCCUGGCUGGAGUGCAGUGGUGGGAUCUCUGCUCUCUGCAAGCUCCACCUCCUGGGUUCACGCCAUUCUCCUGCCUCAGCCUCUGGGGUAGCUAGGACUACAGGCGCCCACCACCAUGCCCAGCUAAAUUUUUUGUAUUCUUAGUAGAGACAGGGUUUCACUGUGUCAGCCAGGAUGGUCUCAAUCUCCUGACCUCGUGAUCUGCCUGCCUCGGCCUCCCAAAGUGCUGGGAUUACAGGCAUGAG